rnacentral:rRNA from 1 species
GAUGAACGCUGGCGGCGCGCCUAAUACAUGCAAGUCGAGCGAACGGACGAGAAGCUUGCUUCUCUGAUGUUAGCGGCGGACGGGUGAGUAACACGUGGAUAACCUACCUAUAAGACUGGGAUAACUUCGGGAAACCGGAGCUAAUACCGGAUAAUAUUUUGAACCGCAUGGUUCAAAAGUGAAAGACGGUCUUGCUAUCACUUAUAGAUGGAUCCGCGCUGCAUUAGCUAGUUGGUAAGGUAACGGCUUACCAAGGCAACGAUGCAUAGCCGACCUGAGAGGGUGAUCGGCCACACUGGAACUGAGACACGGUCCAGACUCCUACGGGAGGCAGCAGUAGGGAAUCUUCCGCAAUGGGCGAAAGCCUGACGGAGCAACGCCGCGUGAGUGAUGAAGGUCUUCGGAUCGUAAAACUCUGUUAUUAGGGAAGAACAUAUGUGUAAGUAACUGUGCACAUCUUGACGGUACCUAAUCAGAAAGCCACGGCUAACUACGUG